GGGGUUGUACUGGUUUCGACGGGGUUUUUGAAGUUAGAGAAGCCAUCUGUGGACCAGGACCACAUAAAAACUUGGAAAAUAAAUAUAAACGCUAACGAAAAUUUAGCUUACGCUGCCUAGUUGCAGCUGUCAGCCUUAAGUCACCUGCUGCUUAAGAGUCUGGCAUCGACCUUGCAGGGCACUUCUUUACCAAAGCUUUGAGGUAUUGGAAGAUUUAUGAAGCUACCAAGCCUGUUGGGAUGUCUGUGAACCAGCAGAUGAGGGAAUGCGACUUUCGUCAAAAUCAUAGACUGUGAUGGGAGAUGCUUUAAUGAAUGGAAUUUCGGACAGGGGUUCGAUUCCCCUCAGCUCCAU
rnacentral:tmRNA from 1 species